AUUGAACGCUGGCGGCAUGCCUUACACAUGCAAGUCGAACGGCAGCACGGGAGCAAUCCUGGUGGCGAGUGGCGAACGGGUGAGUAAUAUAUCGGAACGUGCCCAGUCGUGGGGGAUAACGUAGCGAAAGCUACGCUAAUACCGCAUACGAUCUAUGGAUGAAAGCGGGGGAUCGCAAGACCUCGCGCGAUUGGAGCGGCCGAUAUCAGAUUAGGUAGUUGGUGAGGUAAAGGCUCACCAAGCCGACGAUCUGUAGCUGGUCUGAGAGGACGACCAGCCACGCUGGGACUGAGACACGGCCCAGACUCCUACGGGAGGCAGCAGUGGGGAAUUUUGGACAAUGGGCGCAAGCCUGAUCCAGCAAUGCCGCGUGCAGGAUGAAGGCCUUCGGGUUGUAAACUGCCUUUGUACGGAACGAAACGGUGAGCUCUAAUACAGUUUGCUAAUGACGGUACCGUAAGAAUAAGCACCGGCUAACUACGUGCCAGCCGCCGCAGUAA
rnacentral:rRNA from 1 species